UACGUAGGGGGCAAGCGUUAUCCGGAUUUACUGGGUGUAAAGGGAGCGUAGACGGUAUGGCAAGUCUGAAGUGAAAGCCCAGGGCUUAACCCUGGGACUGCUUUGGAAACUGUUAAACUGGAGUGCAGGAGAGGUAAGCGGAAUUCCUAGUGUAGCGGUGAAAUGCGUAGAUAUUAGGAGGAACACCAGUGGCGAAGGCGGCUUACUGGACUGUAACUGACGUUGAGGCUCGAAGGCGUGGGGAGCAAACAGG
rnacentral:rRNA from 1 species